UAAAGGUACAGUUUUUCCUGUCCAUGAAUAAUUAAGCACAACGUCAUCGUCAUGAAGGUUGAGAAGAUUUAUUGGGGAUUGGAGCAUUUCAGCAGUGGUGCUCCCACCUCAUACAUCUGCCACAUUGCUAUUACUCACUGGAAAUUACAUCAGAAAUUUUGUCAGAAUCCAUUCAGGAGUUCUCAAGCUGAAAUCCGCAGAUAUUUAGACAAACAUGAUCAUCCCUGCAUGCGAUUCUUUUCUUACACGCUGUGAAAAUGCAAAAUAUGGCUAAUCAGAUCAAAAUAAAUUAAAAGAAGGAAGGAGUACAGGAGCUGGGCACGAUGUCAGAGCCUAACUUGUCUUAUAUAAAAUAAUUUUAAAAAUGUGAUAUUCAAAAAAAUGAUCAGGAUAGAAUACAAAUCAAUUGUUCAUUCUUUCUGUGACUAUUUUCAACAGCGCCACUUCCAAUUCUUAUGUUGGCAUGUUUAUUUGUAUUGCUGUAACGAAGUGUGAUGUAUGUGACAGUAUUUCAUUUCAGAACAGAUCUACAUUACAAAUUGUAACUUCUGGUAGAUGGGUAAUUUGAUAUUCGAACUUCAGAUUAUUUUCACAGUCUUUGAUGUUUAAAGGCUAUAUUUUGUAUGUAAAACAAUUAGUUUACUACAUGGAGUAGUGUCCCAAAGGAGGUAAUUAAUAAUUGCUCCGCUAGUCAAGAAAUUCCCCACCUUCUAUGGAACCUGAAGAUAAAUUACUAUGUUUAAAGCCUAUAUUGAGCCAUUUCAAUCCAGAACACACCCUCACACCACUUCCUUAUAAUACAUUAUAAUAUUAUGCUCCCAUUUACAUCUAGAAGUGCCAGGUGAUCUCAUCCUUGCAGUAAGUUUAACUAAAAUUUUGUGUGUAUUUCUCAUCUCUCCCAAAUGUGCUACAUUCCUGUCUAUUUCAUCCUCCUUUAUUUGAUCACCAUGCUACUGUUUCAUUAAGAUUACAAAUUAUGAAGCUCAUCGUUUGCAGUUUUGUCCAUCUGUGUGUUGUAUGAAAAAAGUUGCUAUAAAAUUGUGUAAUUUUGAGGUUGGGUUACAUGAACAGAAACAUAAAAGUUAUUAUAAUAGCCAUGUUAUGAAUGAAGGACAGAAAUACAGUAAGUCCCCAACUUACACAUGUGCAUGUUUGUUACUUAAACAGUUUAGGUAUUUUGACUUCUAGUCAUUAGUGCUGAAUAUACACUGUUCAUACAUUACAUUAUAAUAUGAUAUGUUAUGAUACAACUGUACACAUUUUUGUUAGCAUUAACUACCCAUCGAAACAAAUGUAUAUGUCAAAAAAUAUAUCAUAUUUAAGUGUUGCUGGAUUUACACAGUAGUCAAUUUACAAAGAAUCCAUCGGAACAAAUUAACUGUGUAUGGUGAGACUUACUGUACUGAUCUGGAAUGGUAGGGAUAUCAUGUGGACAUAAUGGGGCAACUGGAAUAUUUAUGUGAUGCUUUACAAACAUCAGGAUGGUUUAGCCAUGGAGCAAAUCAUGCUAAUUUUUGUACUUGUAAUCUCAAGGAGGGGAGAAAAACUAAUAAAACAAAAAAUAAUUGAGAGAAGAUAACUCAUUUAGAAACAUGUCAGAAAGGAAACAUAAUCGCACAUUUCUUCUGAUUUCCUGCAUUAUAUUUCAGCUCAUUUCCCAUAAGACUUAUCUUUUUUCCAUCAGCUCAAAAUGAAUGCCUGAAAUGCUGACAAACAUAUAUCUGAAAAUGUUAUUUUUAAUUUCUUGUGAUAAUUGAAUUAGUUUGUCAUUAUCUACAAAGGUCAGGAAUAUUUUUUUAGGCUCAACUGCACUAGAAAUCAGUUUUGUAAAUAAAAGAAAAUAAAAUAGCUGCUCACUUUCUGCAGUUCCAACACACAGCUUACAGAGAAUAUGAACAGUACUACACUGAUUAUUUACAAAUGUAAAGUGAAGAGUGUGGAUCAAGAUGUGAAGGACUCUUUGAGAUCUUUAUCUAAGCAACUAUUAAAAAAUGGAGGAACUAUGAAAAAUACCAGUCAUGGUAACUGACUUGAGAUGGGAUUGAAUGUAUCUACCCAGAAAUGUACUGUUUGAUCCACAAGAAACAAAAAUAUGACAAUAACUAGACAUGAGGAUGAGGUGUACUUUCUGUUGCUUUCAUCUGUACCAAGCACUAAACCUUACACUUGUGUUAUUACAUCCAAUCCCAGCUAACAAUAAAUGCUUUAGUUAAAGGAAUCGAAUUUCUUUCUUGUGUAACAGAGAAACUGAAUGAAUGGCUACUGACAACAGUUAAAGAACAGAAAUCACAAUGUUACACAAAAUGAGGAGGAGAAUUAUUAUUAUAAUGUAAAAUUCAGGUUCAAGUAGGAUAAUUAUCUUUUUAUUUGUAUGUACAGUUUGUGAGAUAAAUUUGUGAAUAAACAGGGCAAUUAUUAUAUUGUGUACAUUUCUGCCAAAAAGAGCAUGUUAUCAUAAUACUUGUCUGGUACUUGCUCCAUCACAUAGAAGAUCGGCAUAAAACAUCACAAUAUCAAAUAUUGAAUGACCCAAGCAAUAUUUACCAUACGACGAAAAUAAUUAUUCCCUGCCUCCUCUCAACCUUUUCAUGGCCAUGAAUCUACCAGAGUGUAUCUGGGGGAGGGGGGGUGUCAACUGUUCAUCCCUGUAAUUUCCCAUGAUUUUAAGAAAACAAUGAAACACUGUACAUCAUUUUGUUAUAUGUAGUGUGUGAUAUGGUCCUUUCCCCUUCAACAGUUGUGGCUGAAGAGUCCUAAAAAAAAAGGAACACAAAAAUUUCCCACCCCUUACUUAAUUUUCUUGCAGGGGUGAAGGAAAUAAUAUGUCUAUGAUGAUCACAGCACAAAAUGUGACAGUUUUUUUUUCUUUUUUUUUUUCUUUUUAAUAAUAUUCAUUCAUCAUUCACGUUAUUGUCAGAGUCACCAAGAACAAGCAAGGUGUAAUAAGCUAUAGGCAUUUAGUUUUCUUUUUUACAUAUGUGCGAGCAAGUUUCUGAGAGUGUUAUAGGAAGCUAGGAGUCUCCAGUUGCAUUGCGUCCCAUAUUGCAGUAUAGAGCAUCAAAGGAUAGAGUUGGCACAACUGUCUCAUACUUUCACUGAUAUAAAUAUCUAAACAGAAACCACAAUACUGGCACUGUCCAACCAUCACCAAACUGUAUUGACCUUCAUGAGUGUGAGUGAUUCAUAACAACUACAUUCCUCCUUACAGUACGCUUCUUUUACUAACACUGGCAGGAUCAUUUAUGUAGAAGAAAUUCAACCUGAUUCCAGAUUAUAGACCACUCAUACUUUCAAAGGUACCUGGAGCAUCUUACCCUGACAUUGCACGCAACCACUCUACAAAAAUAUAUCAAAUUAAAUCAUACAUGUUCCAGAUAUAUAUUCAUGGUAUUCCUAAAGAAAAAUAUCCAUGAUGCACAUAUAGAUAUUAGAGUAAUUUUUUUCAGCAUUAGUAUAAAACACAGAAGUGAUCUCAUAGGGUUUCAUGCAGCAUAGACAUCUCCAAGUCAACAAAAUGUUCCAAGUUUCAAAACAAUAUGAAUAUGGGAAAGCAAUAAUGAUCCAAUGGUCCCUUGUGAAUCAUGUAUUUUUAUAGCAAUCUGGCUGGUUCUGAAUAUUUACUGUAUAUACAUAUUACUCUGAAACGUCUCUUAGUAUGGGAACAAAAUAUUCAUUGCUUCCUAAUCAGAUACUUCAUAACACUGAUUAAAA